CCAGAGAUUUCACUGAAAUAUUUCUGAUCCUCAUUUUGCUUUGUCUGAGUAGAACCUCCAAGACAGACCCUGAUGUAAUUACUUCAUCACGUGAGAAGGGCUGUGCAGAAGUACUGGUCUGGCUCUCCUGGACCAGAAGUCUAAGGACAAAUCCCAAGCAGCUGCAAUGCGAAUUCUGCCCUGACCCACUCCCUGCCAGACCAGAGCUGUCAGGACUGUGGGAUGUGGCUGAGGACAGUCCUGGCAGAAGGGAGUGCCUUUGA
rnacentral:lncRNA from 1 species